UCUAUUAUGGCAGAAUAGUGCAAAAGACUUAAAAUCUUUAUAUAGACCUUUAAAUUCUUUAUAGAA
rnacentral:tRNA from 1 species